UUUAAAAUCACGUAACACAUUCAAUGCAGCCUUAAUAGUUGUCGGGAAGUGUGUGUGUGGCACACAAAUAAAUAUUUCUACCGAGCAUGACCACGUGCCCCAGUAAAUAUCCUUCACACAAAAGAAGUCUGACAGACGGACGGACAAGCAGACGGAUGGGCGGUCGGGCGUGUGGUCAAGUCAAAACGUCGGCAUGCCACGAGGAGCGACAAAAACACGGAAGUCGAUUGCUGCCCAUGCGACCCAAAUAUAGGGCAGCACACAGCUCCUUGACGACGCAACCCACAACAACAGCGCUGAUAGUCGUAGCAACGUAGACGCCAAUGUUGUAAACUUUGAAGUUGACGUGCGAUAACAAGGAAUGACAAGGAAUUCGUUUUAGUUUUUUAGAGAAGAAGAAACUCCGAGUUUUGGCUUACAAAUAAAUGCGAUAAGAAAAGUUGUUGACUUUAAAUGUGGCAAGCAAUCGACGGUGGAGUAAAUUUAAUUUAGUUUUUCUUUAGAAAAAAGUUUACCUAUAAGGCACUUGCUGCUUGCAAAGGGUUGCUCAAUAUGGGCGAAUUGUUGUAUUUAUUUUGAGCAACGAAGUGCGUAGUGUAUAUUUUUAGAGAAAUGAGAACAGUUAGAUUCGGUGAUCAGAAAGGCCAAGUAGGUAUAAAUUAGUACAAAUCGAAAUAAUUGAAAAAAGUUGAGAGAGGAACUCGAACCUUUGAUGCGAAAUGCUAAUCGAAGCGUCCGUUGAUUGCCAAGUAGUAUCUUUUUCGUAGAACAACGUUGUGUCCACCGGAAAGUCAUUGUUUGAACCAAAAGUAAAUGAAUUAUGUGAUGCUUGACUUUGACUUUGAGGGAAUGUGUCGCAUAUAAAGAAAUAUUUGAUUUAUCAGAUUUAUUAGAGCUUAAGGCUCCCAGAAAACGAGAAUCAACACGCAACACCUCUUCGUCGAUUUCAAAGCUGCUUUAGACAGCACGAAAAGGAGCUGCCUCUAUGCCGGAAUGUCUGAAUUUGGUAUCCCCGCGAAACUAAUACGGAUGCGUAAACUGACGUUAAUCAAUAUCAUAAGUUCCGUCAGGUUCGGGAAGGAUCUCUCCGAACCGCUCGAUAACAAACGAGGAGAAAAUAAUUCGAGCUGCAGAGCUAAAUAGAGAAGGUAACAUCUUCUAUAAGAGUAUACACCUGCUGGCGUACGCCGAUGAUAUUGAUCCUCUCUCGACGAACAAAAUCCAAAUUCUAUAAGUCACUCAUUAUUCCCGUCCUGCUAUAUGGUGCAGAGGCAUGGACGAUGACAACAUCUGCUGAGUCGACGUUACGAUUUUUCGAGACAAAGUUUCUACGGAAGAUUUAUGGUCUUUUGCGCAUUGGCCACAGCGAAUAUCGCCUUCGAUGGAACGCUGAGCUGUAUGAGAUAUAUGAGGACAUUGACAUAGUUCAGCGAAUUAAAAGACAAUGGCUACGUUGGCUAGGCCAUGUCGUCCGAAUGGACGAAAACACUCCAGCUCUGAAAGUAUUCGACGCAGCACCCGGGGAAGCAGAGGAAGAGGAUGACCUCCACUCCGUUAGAAAGACCAUAUGGAGAACGACCUGGCUUCGUUUGGAAUCUCGAAUUGGCGUCAAACAGCGAAAAAGAAGAACGACUGGCGCGCUGUUGUAAACUCGCGUAAGCGGUGUCAACACCAAUAAAGAAGAAGAAAGCUGCCAAGUGCAAAUUGUUGAAAUGCCAUCGAGUAACUGGAUACAACACAAACAUUCCUAACCUCCUUUACAGGACUGCAGAUCCUACAAACUUUGAGAGUUGGGUGAGUAACUGAACGCAUAACUUGAAAAAAUAAACGUUGAAGAGAGUAUACUCAUAUGUAUGUGGAGGUCUUGGCCACGUGGAAACACCCUACGGCAUAUAUAGACUUAGAUUUAGAGCUAGCCAGCAAUAUUUAGCAAAAUUUUGUAGCGAAUGUACUAUGAUUAUAUAUGAGUCCCUGUCGAGUACCCCUGUAUUAAAAUCAUUUGGUAUUGCCGAUACAAAAUCAAAGGAAAUAAAGGAAUACAAGUAAGUUGUAAAAACAUUUA